rnacentral:rRNA from 1 species
GACGAACGCUGGCGGCGUGCCUAAUACAUGCAAGUCGAACGCUUUUUCUUUCACCGAGACUUGUCUCACCGAAAGAAAAAGAGUGGCGAACGGGUGAGUAACACGUGGGUAACCUGCCCUCGAGAAGGGGAUAACACUUGGAAACAGGUGCUAAUACCGUAUAACAAUAACUGCCGCAUGGCAGAUAUUUGAAAGGCGCUUUUGCGUCACUCGAGGAUGGACCCGCGGUGCAUUAGCUAGUUGGUGAGGUAACGGCUCACCAAGGCGACGAUGCAUAGCCGACCUGAGAGGGUGAUCGGCCACACUGGGACUGAGACACGGCCCAGACUCCUACGGGAGGCAGCAGUAGGGAAUCUUCGGCAAUGGACGAAAGUCUGACCGAGCAACGCCGCGUGAGUGAAGAAGGUUUUCGGAUCGUAAAACUCUGUUGUUAGAGAAGAACAAGGAUGAGAGUAGAACGUUCAUCCCUUGACGGUAUCUAACCAGAAAGCCACGGCUAACUACGUGCCAGCAGCCGCGGUAAUACGUAGGUGGCAAGCGUUGUCCGGAUUUAUUGGGCGUAAAGCGAGCGCAGGCGGUUCUUUAAGUCUGAUGUGAAAGCCCCCGGCUCAACCGGGGAGGGUCAUUGGAAACUGGAGAACUUGAGUGCAGAAGAGGAGAGUGGAAUUCCAUGUGUAGCGGUGAAAUGCGUAGAUAUAUGGAGGAACACCAGUGGCGAAGGCGGCUCUCUGGUCUGUAACUGACGCUGAGGCUCGAAAGCGUGGGGAGCAAACAGG